AUUGAACGCUAGCGGGAUGCCUUACACAUGCAAGUCGAACGGAUUGGCGAACGGGGGAGUAAUGUAUCGGAACGUGCCCAGUAGCGGGGGAUAACUACGCGAAAGCGUAGCUAAUACCGCAUACUAUCGGAACGGCCGAUAUCGGAUUAGCUAGGUGGUGGGGUAACGGCACACCAAGGCGACGAUCCGUAGCUGGUGUGAGAGGACGACCAGCCACACUGGGACUGAGACACGGCCCAGACUCCUACGGGAGGCAGCAGUGGGGAAUUUUGGACAAUGGGGGAAAGCCUGAUGCAGCCAUGCCGCGUGUGCGAUGAAGGCCUUCGGGUUGUAAAGCACUUUUGGCAGGAAAGCGGUACCUGCAGAAUAAGCACCGGCUAACUACGUGCCAGCAGCCGCGGUAAUAC
rnacentral:rRNA from 1 species